CCUUUUGGGGGUUGAUAUUCCCGUACCCGCUUCAAUGCGCCCAUAUCGAACCUCGUGAUGCUAAGAGUCCUUAAGUCCUCUGAUGUCCUUCGGGACUAGGGGUGAGGCUGAACGCUCGAUCCGAUCGGGUAGUAGGUAAGCGAUGGGGUGACGCAGGAAGGUAGUCCAGCCCAGGCGAUGGUUGUCCUGGGGUAAGCAUGUAGGGCGGAACGUAGGUAAAUCCGCGUUCUAUUCAGCCUGAGAUGUGAUGCCGAGCCGAUUGUGGUGAAGUGGAUGAUCCUAUGCUGCCGAGAAAAGCCUCUAGUGAGUGUUGUGGCGGCCCGUACCCUAAACCGACUCAGGUGGUCAGGUAGAGAAUACCAAGGCGAUCGGGUGAACUGUGGUUAAGGAACUCGGCAAAUUGCCCCCGUAACUUCGGGAGAAGGGGGACCUCUGCUGGUGAUGGGCUUUACGUUCUGAGCUGGUGGGGGUCGCAGUGGCCAGGGGGAAGCGACUGUUUACUAAAAACACAGGUCCGUGCGAAGUCGUAAGACGAUGUAUACGGACUGACGCCUGCCCGGCGCCGGAACGUUAAGGGGACCGCUUAGCCAACGCGAGUUGGCGAAGGUGAGAACUUAAGCGCCGGUAAACGGCGGUGGUAACUAUAACCAUCCUAAGGUAGCGAAAUUCCUUGUCGGGUAAGUUCCGACCUGCACGAAUGGCGUAACGACUUCCCCGCUGUCUCAACCACAGACCCGGCGAAAUUGCACUACGAGUAAAGAUGCUCGUUUCGCGCAGCAGGACGGAAAGACCCCGGGACCUUCACUACAGCUUGACAUUGGCGUUUGGAACGUCUUGUGUAGGAUAGGUGGGAGACUGGGAAGCUGUCACGCUAGUGAUGGUGGAGUCAUUGGUGAAAUACCACUCUGGUCGUUUUGAACGUCUAACUCUGGUCCGUAUCCGGAUCGGGGACAGUGUCUGGUGGGUAGUUUAACUGGGGCGGUUGCCUCCUAAAGAGUAACGGAGGCGCCCAAAGGUUCCCUCAGCCUGGUUGGCAAUCAGGUGUUGAGUGUAAGUGCACAAGGGAGCUUGACUGUGAGACUGACAGGUCGAGCAGGAGCGAAAGCUGGGACUAGUGAUCCGGCAUCGGCGUGUGGAAGCGGUGUCGCUCAACGGCUAAAAGGUACCCCGGGGAUAACAGGCUGAUCUUCCCCAAGAGUCCAUAUCGACGGGAUGGUUUGGCACCUCGAUGUCGGCUCGUCGCAUCCUGGGGCUGGAGUAGUCCCAAGGGUUGGGCUGUUCGCCCAUUAAAGCGGUACGCGAGCUGGGUUUAGAACGUCGCGAGACAGUUCGGUCCCUAUCCGCUGCGCGCGCAGGAGACUUGAAGGGGGCUGUCCCUAGUACGAGAGGACCGGGACGGACGAACCUCUGGUGUGCCAGUUGUACCGCCAGGUGCACGGCUGGUUGGCUACGUUCGGAAGGGAUAACCGCUGAAAGCAUCUAAGCGGGAAGCUCGCCUUGAGAUGAGGUCUCCCACCCCGUGAGGGGGUAAGGCUCCCGGUAGAUCACCGGGUUGAUAGGCCGGAGGUGGAAGCACGGUAACGUGUGGAGCUGACCGGUACUAAUAGGCCGAGGACUUGACC
rnacentral:rRNA from 1 species